rnacentral:pre_miRNA from 1 species
UGGAAGACUAGUGAUUUUGUUGUUUUGGGGUUAAACUAACAACAAGUCAUUGUCUCCCUCA